UGGUUCUGGCAUCGAUGAAGAACGCAGCGAAAUGCGAUAAGUAGUGUGAAUUGCAGAAUUCCGUGAAUCAUCGAAUUUUUGAACGCACAUUGCGCCCAUUGGUAUUCCAAUGGGCAUGCCUGUUCGAGCGUCAUUUAAACCUUCAAGCUUUGCUUGGUGUUGAGCGUCUGUCUCAGUGUUCUCCCUGCAGACUCGCUUCAAAUAUAUUGGCAGCCAGCAAUUGGAUAUGAGAGCGUAGCACAUUUUGCGUUUUUGGUCACAAUAGUCGGCGUCCAGGAAGCUUAUUUUAACGUUUGACCUCGGAUCAGGUAGGGAUACCCGCUGA
rnacentral:misc_RNA from 1 species